GUCUACGGCCAUGUCCCCCCUGAACGUGUCCGAGCCCGUCUGAUCUCAGAAGCUAAGCAGGGUCGAGCCUGGUUAGAACUUGGAUGGGAGACCGCCUAGGAAGACCAGGUGCUGUAGGCG
rnacentral:rRNA from 1 species